rnacentral:lncRNA from 1 species
UCCAACAUAAAUACGAAUCUGGACCGAAUCCCAUGAUUUAAUUAAAGAAAGUGAUGAGUCCAAACCAUACAGGCCCAUAUUAAGCCCGAGCCCAUAUGUAAUUCCAGUCUCAAUUUGGACCCAUAUAUGAAUCUGAAUUUGGACCUUUCAUACGGGCCCAUAUUGAACCCAAAUCCACAUCAAAAUAAAUCCGAGCCCAAUCCAGAUUGAGCCCAAAUCAAACCCACGGCCCAAAGCCCAAUCCAGAUUGAGCCCAAUUCAAAUCCACGGCCCAAAGCCCAAUCCCAUUGGGCCCAAUUCCAGUCCAAGGCCCAAGCCCAAGUACAAACCUCAAACCCAAAAUAUGCCCAAAUACCAUUCAAAUCCAAAACUCAAAACAGUAUCCAAUCCAAAUCCCAAAUUUCAUAUUCAAAUCAACCCAAAUCCCAUCUUCAAAUCAACCCAAAUCCCAUAUUUUCAUAUUCUCAUAAGCCCAAAGUGAGCCCAAAAUCCAUGAGUUGAGCCCAUUUUGAGCCCAAAAUCCAUAUAUGAGUUGAGCCCAUUUUGAGCCCAAAAUCCACAUAUGAAUUGAACCCAUUUUGAGCCCAAAUCCAAAUCCCCAUAUCAAAUCCAAAUUAAGCCCAAAAUGAGCCCAUGAUCCAAAUCUAAAUUGAGCCCAUAAAAUGAGCUCAUAUUACAUCCAAGUCCAAAUCCUCAUGAAGUCCAGAGCCCAUUUACAAAUGGCCCCAGUCCAAAACCCAUUUGGGCCCACUAUCUAAGCCCAUUAUCCAAAACUCAUUAAAACCAUUAACCCAUAAACUCAUAUACAUAAACCUAUAUACAUUUACCCAUGAACCCAUACACAUUUAACCCAUAUCCAAGCCCAUAACCUUAACCAAGUCCGUGAACUUUGAACCAAAACCAUGGACCAAACCAUACACCAAAUCCUGUGGACCAUACCAUACACCAAAUCCACAAACUAUGAAUCAAGUUCAUGAAUCAAAUCAAGUUCAUAAGUCCAUGAACCAUAAACCCAUGAGCCAUAAGUCCAUGAACCAUAAGUCCAUGAACCAUAAACCCAUGAACCAUAUCUAAGUUCAUGAACCAUAAUCCCAUAUACCCAAUACCAUAAACCUUGUGAACCAAACCCAAACCUAAAUUUGAUAUCGACCGAAACGUCGUUAAACUAAUCCACCAAAUCAACCGACCGAAACGUCGUUAAACUAAACCUAAAUCCGAUAUCGACCGAAANUAUAUGAAUCUGAAUUUGGACCUUUCAUACGGGCCCAUAUUGAACCCAAAUCCACAUCAAAAUAAAUCCGAGCCCAAUCCAGAUUGAGCCCAAAUCAAACCCACGGCCCAAAGCCCAAUCCAGAUUGAGCCCAAUUCAAAUCCACGGCCCAAAGCCCAAUCCCAUUGGGCCCAAUUCCAGUCCAAGGCCCAAGCCCAAGUACAAACCUCAAACCCAAAAUAUGCCCAAAUACCAUUCAAAUCCAAAACUCAAAACAAUAUCCAAUCCAAAUCCCAAAUUUCAUAUUCAAAUCAACCCAAAUCCCAU